UUACGGCGCUACCAUGUUGAAACACCGGCUCCCGUACGAUCACCGAAGUUAAGCAAAAUCGAGCUUGGUGAGUACCUAAACAGCUUUGGAAUACCAGGUGCUGUAA